CUGCAACUGGUCAGUCUCAAAUAGGACGAAACGCGCGUCCUGCAU
rnacentral:hammerhead_ribozyme from 1 species